GUGCUCGCUUCGGCAGCACAUAUACUAAAACUGGAACAAUACAGAGAAGAUUAGCAUGGCCCCAGUGCAAGGAUGACACUGAAAUCCGUGAAGCGUUCCAUUUUUUU